GAUGAACGCUGGCGGCGUGCCUAAUACAUGCAAGUCGAACGAAACUUCUUUAUCACCGAGUGCUUGCACUCACCGAUAAAGAGUUGAGUGGCGAACGGGUGAGCAACACGUGGGCAACCUGCCCAAAAGAGGGGGAUAACACUUGGAAACAGGUGCUAAUACCGCAUAACCAUAGUUACCGCAUGGUAACUAUGUAAAAGGUGGCUAUACUACCGCUUUUGGAUGGGCCCGCGGCGCAUUAGCUAGUUGGUAGGGUAAAGGCUUACCAAGGCAAUGAUGCGUAGCCGAAUUGAGAGGUUGAUCGGCCACAUUGGGACUGAGACACGGCCCAAACUCCUACGGGAGGCAGCAGUAGGGAAUCUUCCACAAUGGGCGAAAGCCUGAUGGAGCAACGCCGCGUGGGUGAAGAAGGUCUUCGGAUCGUAAAACCCUGUUGUUAGAGAAGAAAGUGCGUGAGAGUAACUGUUCACGUUACGACGGUAUCUAACCAGAAAGCCACGGCUAACUACGUG
rnacentral:rRNA from 1 species